GAAGACCUUUCUGGAAUAAGUAAAAGUGAAUCUCUUUCUUGGAGAGCCCGAGCAGCCUCUGUGCAGCUCUCUGGCCUCCACUGAGGCUUCUGCUGACCAUCAUUCUCUUCACUCCUCCUGGCGGUGAGACUCCGGAACCUUCUGCCGCAGCAAUCCUGCCUCAUUUCCAAGCAGGACCACCCCCUGUGGCCAAGCCGCCUCCACCUCUCCUGACCCCUGCUGAGCGGUCCUUCCUGGGUGGAGCUCCUUGAGGUCCCGUGAAGUCCCUGCAGUUAAGCACCCAGUGGGAAGAAAGCCUCCUUCCACCGUCAGACCCUCUCCUGCAGCCGGAGUGGGGAAGGCCCGUGAGAGUCUGGUUGUCAACCUGCCAUGUUUCAACAAGGAAGUUGCCAAUGAAGUCUUGUGCAAAGGACCGGCCAACCCCAUUCUGUUCUCCCUCCCUGCUUCAAGAAGUCCCCUCCAAGAGGCCUGCUCCUUGGGGAUGUCCACCGGCCAUGCCUGCCUGAUGUCCACUACACGGGGAGAAGCCAGGCCUUUAACCACCUCUGCCAGGUGAGACGCGGGUGAGCUGGGAGAGCUCCCUCCAGUGUGCUGAUGGUAGGACUUUGAGUGAGGAAGGGAACCAUCUGUGGCCGCGCCCAAUACGGUAGCCAUCAGCCACGUGUGGCUAUGGAGCACUUGAAUGAAGCUAUGGUGGCUGAGGAUCUGAAUUUUUAAUUUCACUUAAUUUUAGUUAAUUUGGAUGACCAGGGUCACCUGUGCUGAUGGUGGCCCAUAAUAGCCAGCACAGUUCUAGGCUAUUAAAAGCCUCAGGAAGCUGUAGUGAUGGGUACAAAGGCAUGUGAUGUUUUCUCCAAACAGAAAUCUAGUCUUUCUCGGUCUUUUCCACCUUCUCACUUUUUUUUUUAAGUUGCAAAUGUACGUAAGAAGGAAAUAUUAUCCCUGUUUCAUAAAUGGAUAUCAUUGCCAAUGGCUAUAAAAUAGAAGGUAACACACACACACACACACACACACACACACUCACACACACAAGUGUUACUAAAUUCCUGCCAGGUACCAUUGCCUGCCUCAGUCAUGAGAGCAUAAGUCUUACUCUCCCCUGGUCAAAAAUGGGGGUGACUGUGGGGUGCCAUGGCACCAGCCUGUAAUCCCAGCCAUUUGGGAGGCUGAGGCAGGAGGAUGGAGGCCAGCCUGGGCAAUUUAGCGAGACCCUGUCUCAGUCGUCUUUCAACCACUGAGUCACAUCCCCAAUCUGUUUUUUUAUUUUUUAUUUUGGGACAAGUUUUCAAUAAGUUGCUUAAGGCCUCGCUAAAUUGCUGAGGCUGACUUUGUACAAGUGAUCCUCCUGCCUCAGCCUCCCAGCCCACUGGGAUUACAGACGUGUGCCACUGCACCCCGCAGGAAAGGGGAGCCUUUGUUGCUCUCUGUUCUCUGUGCAAAUGACAUAUUUUUCGUGAUAUUAAAUUCUAUUUUAAAGUUUUAA